UAGGGAAUCUUCCGCAAUGGACGAAAGUCUGACGGAGCAACGCCGCGUGAGUGAAGAAGGCUUUCGGUUCGUAAAACUCUGUUGCUAGGGAAGAAAAAAUGUAUAGUAACUAUAUACAAAAGAGACGGUACCUAACCAGAAAGCCACGGCUAACUACGUGCCAGCAGCCGCGGUAAUACGUAGGUGGCAAGCGUUGUCCGGAAUUAUUGGGCGUAAAGCGCGCGCAGGUGGUUUAGAAAGUCUGAUGUGAAAGCCCACGGCUCAACCGUGGGGGGUCAUUAGAAACUAAUAAACUUUGUGGCAGGAGAGAGAAGUGGAAUUCCUAGGGUAGCGGUGAAAUGCGUAGAGAUUAGGAGGAACACCGGUGGCGAAAGCGGCUUUUUGGCCUGCAACUGACACUGAGGCGCGAAAGCGUGGGGAGCAAACAGG
rnacentral:rRNA from 1 species